GAAGGCAUCAGUGUGAUCUCAUUCGUCUUUUAAACAACAUGGCAUACAAGAUUGUUCUCGUAGCGGCGAUGGUGGGCCUGAUUGCGGCGGCUCCUCAGUACAACUACGAGCCACCUCAAGCGCCCUCUUCGCUGUACGAGACGCCCCUGGUCGCCGAACCUCAGAACAUCGUCCCUGCAGUUGUGAACCCGGUACGAGCGGUGACCCACUGUUUAAUAUGUGAGGUUUCUUGAUAGAAAAAGAGAGAGAAAAUGGAAACUAAUUUCAAGAGUAUCUUAUUGAUGAAAUUCGUGUUCCGUUCUCAGCCGAUAGAGGGAAUGCCGUACGACUUCACGUGGGGCGUGGAGGACGGUGAGAGCGGCAACGCCUUCAGCCACGUGGAGAACAGCGACGGCCAGACGACCCAGGGCGAGUACCGCGUCCUCCUCCCCGACGGAAGAACUCAGGUGGUUAAAUUCUACGACAACGGCGACGGCUUCAACGCUGAGGUCACCUACGAGAAGUAGACAUCCCAACCUGCAAUAUGUCUUAAAUUAUGUGAUGUGAUAAUAAAACAAUUUAACACUGACAAAA
rnacentral:lncRNA from 1 species